rnacentral:rRNA from 1 species
AGGUCAGGCGGGACUACCCGCUGAGUUUAUGCAU